rnacentral:rRNA from 1 species
UACGUAGGGCGCAAGCGUUGUCCGGAAUUAUUGGGCGUAAAGCGCACGUAGGCGGUUUGUUAUGUCGGAUGUGAAAGCCCUUGGCUCAACUGAGGAAGUGCAUCCGAAACUGGCAAGCUAGAGUAUGUAAGAGGGUCGCGGAAUUCCCGGUGUAGAGGUGAAAUUCGUAGAUAUCGGGAGGAACACCGGUGGCGAAGGCGGCGACCUGGGACAAUACUGACGCUGAGGUGCGAAAGCGUGGGGAGCAAACAGG